UACGGAGGGGGCUAGCGUUGUUCGGAAUUACUGGGCGUAAAGCGCGCGUAGGCGGACCUGCAAGUCGGGGGUGAAAGCCCGAGGCUCAACCUCGGAACUGCCUUUGAUACUGGAGAGCUAGAGUCCGGAAGAGGUGAGUGGAACUGCGAGUGUAGAGGUGAAAUUCGUAGAUAUUCGCAAGAACACCAGUGGCGAAGGCGGCUCACUGGUCCGGUACUGACGCUGAGGUGCGAAAGCGUGGGGAGCAAACAGG
rnacentral:rRNA from 1 species